rnacentral:rRNA from 1 species
ACAUGAGAGCUUGCUCUUGAUGACGAGUGGCGCACGGGUGCGUAACGCGUAUGCAAUCUACCUAUAACUGAGGAAUAGCCCAGAGAAAUUUGGAUUAAUACCUCAUAAUAAUAUCUUUUGGCAUCAUUAGAUAUUUAAAACUCCGGUGGUUAUAGAUGAGCAUGCGUUCUAUUAGUUUGUUGGUGAGGUAAAGGCUCACCAAGACUUCGAUAGAUAGGGGGCCUGAAAGGGUGAUCCCCCACACUGGUACUGAGACACGGACCAGACUCCUACGGGAGGCAGCAGUGAGGAAUAUUGCACAAUGGAGGAAACUCUGAUGCAGCCAUGCCGCGUGCAGGAUGACGGCCCUACGGGUUGUAAACUGCUUUUUUACAAGAAGAAACCUUGGUACGUGUACCAACUUGACGGUAUUGUAAGAAUAAGCACCGGCUAACUCCGUGCCAGCAGCCGCGGUAAUACGGAGGGUGCAAGCGUUAUCCGGAUUUAUUAGGUUUAAAGGGUUCGCAGGCGGAAUUUUAAGUCAGUGGUGAAAGCCUAUAGCUCAACUAUAGAACUGCCACUGAUACUGAUAUUCUUGAGUAUAGAUGAAGUGGGCGGAAUAUGUCAUGUAGCGGUGAAAUGCAUAGAUAUGACAUGGAACACCAAUUGCGAAGGCAGCUCACUAAACUAUUACUGACGCUCAUGAACGAAAGCAUGGGGAGCGAACAGGAUUAGAUACCCUGGUAGUCCAUGCCGUAAACGAUGAUCACUAGACGUUGGCGAUAUAAUGUCAGUGUUUAANAGAAAUCAUUAAGUGAUCCACCUGGGGAGUAC